rnacentral:rRNA from 1 species
AUGCGGAAGGAUCAUUAGUGAAUAUAGGACGUCCAACUUAACUUGGAGUCCGAACUCUCACUUUCUAACCCUGUGCAUUUGUUUGGGAUAGUAACUCUCGCAAGAGGGCGAACUCCUAUUCACUUAUAAACACAAAGUCUAUGAAUGUAUUAAAUUUUAUAACAAAAUAAAACUUUCAACAACGGAUCUCUUGGCUCUCGCAUCGAUGAAGAACGCAGCGAAAUGCGAUAAGUAAUGUGAAUUGCAGAAUUCAGUGAAUCAUCGAAUCUUUGAACGCACCUUGCGCUCCAUGGUAUUCCGUGGAGCAUGCCUGUUUGAGUGUCAUGAAUACUUCAACCCUCCUCUUUCUUAAUGAUUGAAGAGGUGUUUGGUUUCUGAGCGCUGCUGGCCUUUAGGGUCUAGCUCGUUCGUAAUGCAUUAGCAUCCGCAAUCGAACUUCGGAUUGACUUGGCGUAAUAGACUAUUCGCUGAGGAAUUCUAGUCUUCGGACUAGAGCCGGGUUGGGUUAAAGGAAGCUUCUAAUCAGAAUGUCUACAUUUUAAGAUUAGAUCUCAAAUCAGGUAGGACUACCCGCUGAACUUAAGCAUAUCAAANCNGAGGAAGGAAAAGAUCUCUUAGGUNAAUAUAUGGGACGUCCAACUUAACUUGGAGUCCGAACUCUCACUUUCUAACCCUGUGCAUUUGUUUGGGAUA